rnacentral:snoRNA from 1 species
UUGCAGGUUAAUUGCCAGCGGAGUUGGUACAUUUAUUUAGUGACCAAACUUCCUCCUUACUUGCCUGCUAGAAUAAAUUGGAUAAGUUUGAGGGAACUUUAUUAUAUCAUUUUAAGUUCCCAUAGGAAUUUCAUACAAUC